UCCGAAUGGGCGGGAAUCCUUGGUCGGGCUGGCCAGCAUUCUCUUAAACAAUGUGUUCAUGAGGCUGGCUAGACGCGAAGAGGGUCUUCAGAACCUGAUUGGAAAGACGUUGCAACAACAACAAAAAAACGUGGGCACAAAUGAUAGUGGGGAUGUAAGAGAGAGAGUAAGCGAGAGCCAAGGGAGGGAGAUCAUUCUUAAUCACGGAAAAGACAGAGGAGGGAAGAGAAGCUAGCAGAGGAUUUCGAAGGCAAACCACAUUCACUGGCCGGCCUCUGGUUGCCAUGGAGAUGAUAUAGCAGAUUUAAGCCCAGGGUAACUCUGGGGAAAGACUGGCUAGAGUCCCACUUGAUGCAAAACAGUGCUACGACUUGAUUCUCCCAAAGAUUUACAUCAGAUGAGAAUCUGGCCCAGAAUGGGACUAGGAGCUUUGGAGCUUGCCAAAACCAGACAUGAUCUUUACUUCUGAAAAAUGAUGUAUGCUUAACCUGUGAAAGCUUACAUCCCUAGCUGCUUACAUCAACUGGUGGUGGCCAGAAAGAUGCCUCCUCUCUAUCCCUGGGAUCUCCUCAGGGGGGGCCACGGCUGGGAGGGGCCGCUGCCUUCUUCACCCAUCACUGGUCCCACCCUGUGGGUGCAUCGCUGCUCAAGAUGCAGCCAGGGGGCGUUUAUAUUUUCAUGCCUCCCCCAGGAGACCUGGAGCAGUGACUAAAAGACUUCCUGAGGUGAAGACUCCUCUACUUGUGGGUCAGUGUUGGCCAACCCCUCAGCCUGAACACCAGGGAAUAGCUGAGGGGUGGAUCAGACCUUCUGGUGUCUUCUCAGAAGUGGUAGAAAAAUGGUAGCAUUUUUUCUUGGAAUAUCUUUUAGAGCCUGCCCACCCUCCCAGCCUUCAAUCACUGGCUCCCCCAGUUUGACGGAUCCCUUUCCACUAACGUGUGGGGUCUGUAGGUGCCUCUUGGCCCUCAGGGGUGCCGCGGCCUUGGAAGAGCUUUGACAAGGAUGUGUCACACCGCAGACACACUGGCAGCCACAUCUACAGCCCCGCUAUCUCCUUUCUACCUUGUCUUCUUCAUUACCACCUACUCUAUUUUUCUUUAUUUCCAAAUCAUUUCUAUCUUUUAAUAAUUUCAUUACUGUAGCUGAGAAAGCUCUUUAUCUCCCUCUUUCUCUCCCUCCUCCUCCCCCUUCCUCUCCCCCCUCACUCUGUCAAUCUUUGUGACCAUAUUGAAAAUUAUGCAUAGAAACAGAAAGAGAAAGCAAGGCGCCGAAAACGGCUCCUUGAAAUGGCCAGCUUGUGAGCCACAGUGAACCGGUGUCAACUCAUUAUUCAGGUCACCAAGAGUAUCUGCUGCCUGGCAACCAUCCUGCUGUUGGAUUUUCAUGUGGGCUCAGAAGAAUGCACGAGAAACAGCAAAGUGUGUGGGGAUGGGCCGAAGUUCCCCAGUGCCAACCACCUCUCCCCAAAGGGCAUCCUUGGGUUUGCCUCUCAUUUCGACUUGGUGCCACAGUGAGAGCCCUGCUCUAAUGAGAAGAAAGGAAAGUGAUACGUCCACAGGGUUAACCCUCCCACCUGAAGCACCCGAGCAGACCACAAAGCCGGGAGCUGGACAGAUUCACGAGAGCGAAGAUAACGAGUCUAGACCUCAGAUAUAAAAGUGACUUCCCUUAUCUCUGGAAUGCUGUCACCCGGGGUGAAGGCCCGCCAGCACAAGUAGGGCGCACCAGGCCUCGCAACUGUUCAUAUGGAAAACCCCAGCCGGCAGACACCAGCUCCAGAAUUCCGCAACUUUUCCUCCUCGGGAUCAUCAGUCCUUUUGUGCCUUUUCCCUAACUUUCGACCUCACAAGACCACCUGCCGCUGUACCUCCCUGAAGGUUCAUUGAGACCGCUGCCUUGGAGCCCUGCGGCUGGAAAGAAACCAUCUUCAGCCGAAAAUAAAUCAUUGCCACCCCAUUUCACUUGGAAUUCUACUACUGAUUUUUGUUGGUUUCUAAACUUUAAUUAAACAAGACACAGUGAAGAUCUCAAUCCUCCUUCCUGGAAUCUACAGGUGUUGCUGGUGCCAUCUAGUGGCGGGAAGGUGUGGCGUCUGUUUUCUCUCGAGGGAUUUGUCAGGUUUGGAGGUUUCUUCCCCACACCAAAUUCACAUCACACGGGUGGUAGAAAAAGACAUGCAAAAAAAAAAUUUUUUUUUUUUACCUUUAAAAUUCUCACCUGCAAAAGCAGAGAUGGGUUCUGGAAGAAAAAAAAAAGAAAAAAAUACUGAGUUAGAUAAGAGGAGGAAAUAGUGGGGCAGGUAUAGGGUGUGAUGAAGAGGACUUCCAAUAAGUUGCUUUUUUUUUUUUUUUUUGGUAAUACCCCAUGGGAAGUGUCCCCAUGUCCUCCUCAUGCUGUAGACUGUGUCUAAUACAUCAUCAUGACAAGGGCCGGGUCGAUGGGGAGAGAUUCCCAAAGUCGCUUUGGAACCAAAGUCCUUUAUGGAGCGAUGCGUCCCUGAAGCAUUGUAAUCAGUCAGCUACCACUGAUGACUUUCUCAGAGGCUGGAUUACGUUUGGAUGCCCAGGGCCUGAGAGCUGCCUGAAGGGACUGGGGUGGUCCCAGGUGCUUCUGACAUCAUCAGGCACACACAUCCGGGACGCAUGGGCCAAGAAAAGCACUCGGAGAUAGAAGACUUCACCUCAUGUUACACUCCUCCCAUCCUGAAUGCAGCCUAAGACACGACGACAUUCAUACCUCAUCUCCUUCACAGACUGCUGCUAUUCUACCCAUUGGGUGCAACUGGUUUUUAAAGGGCGCGCUUGUAUAUCGUCUGGUAUAUCCCUGCCCCUGGUGUCUUAUUUGGAAGAGCUACGAAGAGACAGAUAUUCACGUACCCAUACAGUUCUCCAGUGGGACGUCCGUGCUUAUCCGAAUGUCAUCAAUGGCAAUUUCUCCUGAACGUCCUUUUCCUAUGACUCCCUCAAACACAAUCUGGAAGCCAGAAGAACAAGAGCCAUGGUAAACCGAGCUCCUCCGUUCGAACAGUGCAAAGACUUCCAAUUUUCUGUUAACUGCAGCUUAAAAUGUGUGUGUGCGCACGCACACGUGCGCAUGUUUCUGUACCUGGUAGCCAUCUGUUGACCACAUGGCUAUGGGCUUGAAAUCUUAAUUUAAAAAGAGUUGGUUCAAAUCAAAUGCAUAUCUGAAGGAAUUAAAAAUAUAUAUAUAUAUAUAACAAGGUGAUGGAUACUGUUGUCCAGUAACUAACAUGUACUGAUUAAAAGGACCAGAAUCGGGACAUGUUUAAAGGAGGGUUGGAAUGUCCCAAGCCAUUUCUGUGGUUCCUUUCUCAUAAAUCUUUCAAAUGCCCAACCCAGGCCUUUGGAAACUCAGAGGACAAAACAGGUGGGGGUAAGGUGAGCAACACAGUACACUGGGUCUGGAUGGCCUUUGGCACAAUAACAUUGUCUUGCGGCUCCAUUAUUAUAACGAGGAGGGAAAGGAUUUUUUUCCUUCCCCAAUACUUUACUGAACACCUACUACGUGUGCCAGG